UCCAUUAAUUAACUGUUAUAGUUGGACCUUUGACAUUUCUUGGAUGGAUAAGUUGUUGCUCGUUGACGCACGGCAAAAAAUCCAAUUUCAUUUGGAACGCAAACAAUUUUUUUCUUUUGCUCGGACUGCGACUUCUUGGUCUACGUGUAGUUCACGAGAGAUUUUUUCAUUCAUUCAAUGUGGUUCUAAUAUAAGUUCUAGGAUGUUUGUUCAAUUCUUCAAUAUUCGGGUGUGUGUAUUUUGUAUACAUGUAUAUUGAUGUGUCGUUUUUGUGAAUCGCGCUGUAAUACUAGCGGUGUUUGCCAUUUGUGUAAGAGAUCACAUAUGUGUAUUUUUGUUUUCUAAAAUCUUACUUAUAGAUUUCGGCACCAUGCGCACCAUAGCAUUACUGGGCAAAAUUGUGUAAUGUACCAUCGUCAAUAGACUAUCAAACAGAUUUUUUCCACCAUUUGUUAUCGGGAACAUUGGACCAAAAAAUGGGUAAGCCAAAUUAACUGAAUGACUGAAUGGACGAGUACAACUACAGUGGUGCCGAAAAGGAUAUAAUAUCUGAAAAUAAAAAAGAUGGUGAUUUAGCAUUUCAAAUAUUAAUGAUCACUGAAAUAUAGUUGUAAUAGGCAUGGUUGUAAUAGGUAUCCGUUUCUAGUAUAUUAGAUUUACACUUGAUGAAAAAAUAAAAAUAAAUGACCCUGCGGUCAUCACAAUAUAGUGUAGAAUUUGUGUUAAUUUCACAGAAAACCACAGCAUUUCUAUUCAAGAAUAAUAUUAUUGUUAAUGAUGAUAUAUUAAUACUAUAAAUGUUCUACUUUGUAACAACGAGUUGCAAAUUAUAAAUAAUAAUAAUUCUAUUUCAUAUGCAGAAUAUAAUCUAUAAGAUUUAAUGAGUAAUUUACACAGUAACAUUGUGAUUAAUGGAGAUAUUGGAACUUUGAUUGAACAUAAUUUCAGCGGUAUCAUUCUGAAGUUUGGUUUAUGUAACAAUUUGAUUAUGGAGAACUUUUACAACCAUUUAACUGCCAUAUAAAUUCAAAUAAGUAAAUUGACUCUCUCACCUCAACAAUGACAAACAAGAUUAAACAUCCAAAUGAUUUGACAGAACUUAACAAUUGUGUGAAAAAGAGACCAACAGAUUCUACAUCAAUAUCUCAUAAACAAUUGAAAUUAAGUGAAGUUGGUAAAGUUCGACCAACGAAAAAGUUAGAUCAAGCUGAGUUUGAUAUGGUUAAUUUAAAGCUUAUAAUUGAUACUGUGUUAGGAUUUAAAACUUAUUAUUGAUGCUGUGUCACCUUUUACAUUCAUUGAACAUCCAGCAUUUGUAAAAUACUGCAAAGUGUUACAUCAAAUAAAGUGCAUGCUUCACGGAGAAACUUAAUGUACAACAUUGUUGAAUACAAUACAAUAAGUGAUAAAUUAAAUGGUCAGUGAAAUAGAUACAAUUAAAUGUGUAUGUAUUACAGCAGACCGUUGAUGCAUAUUCCACAAAUCAUACUUAAGAUUUACUAUCAAUUGGAUUAAUCCUCAAACAUUUGAAAGAUUUUUGAAAGGACUUACAUGUAGACGAAUAAUAGGAAGACACACUUAUAACAAUAUUGCCGUAUCUAUAGACAAAGUACUCAACAAAUUUAAAAUUCAGAAUAAAACAACAUUAAUAUUCACUAAUAAUGCAGCAAAUUUUGUCAAAAAUUUAG